rnacentral:rRNA from 1 species
CCAACCGGGAUUGCCUUAGUAACGGCGAGUGAAGCGGCAAAAGCUCAAAUUUGAAAUCUGGCGUCUUCGACGUCCGAGUUGUAAUUUGAAGAAGGCGACUUUGUAGCUGGUCCUUGUCUAUGUUCCUUGGAACAGGACGUCAUAGAGGGUGAGAAUCCCGUGUGGCGAGGAUCCCAGUUAUUUGUAAAGUGCUUUCGACGAGUCGAGUUGUUUGGGAAUGCAGCUCUAAGUGGGUGGUAAAUUCCAUCUAAAGCUAAAUAUUGGCGAGAGACCGAUAGCGAACAAGUACAGUGAUGGAAAGAUGAAAAGAACUUUGAAAAGAGAGUGAAAAAGUACGUGAAAUUGUUGAAAGGGAAGGGCAUUUGAUCAGACAUGGCGUUUGCUUCGGCUUUCGCUGGGCCAGCAUCAGUUUUAGCGGUUGGAUAAAUCCUCGGGAAUGUGGCUCUGCUUCGGUAGAGUGUUAUAGCCCGUGGGAAUACAGCCAGCUGGGACUGAGGAUUGCGACUUUUGUCAAGGAUGCUGGCGUAAUGGUUAAAUGCCGCCCGUCUUGAAACACGGACCUCCUGUGUGAAGU